AUUGAACGCUGGCGGCAGGCCUAACACAUGCAAGUCGAACGAGUGGCGGACGGGUGAGUAAUGUCUGGGAAACUGCCUGAUGGAGGGGGAUAACUACUGGAAACGGUAGCUAAUACCGCAUACCAUCAGAUGUGCCCAGAUGGGAUUAGCUAGUAGGUGGGGUAACGGCUCACCAAGGCGACGAUCCCUAGCUGGUCUGAGAGGAUGACCAGCCAAACUGGAACUGAGACAGUGUACAGGCUCCUACGGGAGGCAGCAUUGGGGAAAAUUGAACAAUGAGCGCAAACCUGAUGCUGCCAUGCCGCGUGUAUGAAGAAGGCCUUCGGGUUGUAAAGUACUUUCAGCGGGGAGGCGUUACCCGCAGAAGAAGCACCGGCUAACUCCGUGCCAGCCGCCGCGGUAAUAC
rnacentral:rRNA from 1 species